UAAACAUUACUGUUAGAUGCUAGAAGCUCAACAUAGCGUCUCAUCUUUUCUAAAUCACAGGCUGAUGUAAUCCACAGAAACGCCGUUGUUCAUGUUCUGAUUCCGGGUUGAGGUCCAGAGAACUGCAAGAAAGUAUUUAAGCUGGCAGAGCUCCUCUUUGUAUGUCUGAGGAGUUUACGUUCUUCUCUAUGGGGGUAAGUGCCACGUCUGAGCUGUGUACCCCAUGAUCCAGGCUUUACUCCCACUCAGCCCAGGCCUGCUCACCGUGGAAAGCCCACAGAGCUGUUCAGACUGAGUCAAUAGUUAGCAAGCGUGAUCUGUAAGUUUCAUCUAAUUAAAUCUACAUUUUCAUGUAUAAUUGUGUGCCUCUUCGAAGCCUCUGUAGGUUGAGUUAUUGUGUAGUUAUUGAAGAGAAAUAUGGAUGUUUAUGCUGUGUGUGUGUGUGUGCGUGUGUGAGAGAGAGAGAGAGUGCACUCUGCACACGGCUGCUGAAAAACCACCACGAUGCAUCCUGGAGAGCAUCAUUCAUCGCAGCUCUUCGCCACCUGCGUGGCCUCUGACAGCUCCCCUCCUUAUUAUGCUGAACAAUGAAAACUGCCACAACAAUAUAGCAGAAAUUUAUGCAAACAUAAAGCAAAAAACAACUGCGUCCUGUUUUGUUUGUGCAAUCCAGACAGCAAAAGUGUUAGACAGGUGCACGAGUCGCUGCACUGAAGAAAAAUGCUGUAUUUUAGUCAGAUCUCUAUUAUCUUUUCCUCUAUGCGCAAACAUCUCUAAAUGUGAAUCAAUAAUUAAACUUCAUCUGUUGAACUUACAACUACCUAUUAUAAGUAAACUUUUGGUGUCUAUUAUUUUUUAUUUUUGUAAUUGAUUUGGUGUUAGUUUUU